UAUUUUUUCUCCUUCGCUGUUUUUUUGUUUCGCAAGAUGUCGCUUAGAAAUUUGGAAUAUGAUAUCGAACAGUUUAUAUGCUUUUGAAACCAACUCUGCUUAACCGAAUACUUUCCCAUAUAAGAGUUAUCUCCCCAAACACUGUUUUUCUUGUUAUCUCUAAGGCUUCGCAACCGUAUAAGAAACCGACAAAUUUAUUUUUCCAAAUUGCUUGUUAUAUCCUCAGGAUGUUCUGUUUUAUUUUGACUGAAGCCGUAUCGAGAUUCCAUAUGAAAGUUAUUUCCCCUUUUGUAUUUGAAAUUUUGAAAUGUAUUUUUAACUGGAAAACUAUAAGUGAUAGAGGCCUAUGGUCUUUAUAUUUGAGGUCCUUGGUCCCAAAAAAAUAAAAUGAGGUCAAGGUCAAAGGUCAAGGUCAUGUUCAAAAUUUUGAUUUUGGCUUGUUAUCUCUCAUUUUCAGAAAUCUUAUAAGAUAUCGACAAAAAAUUUUCACACAAUUGUUAGUUGCGACAUGUUGUAACACGUAAGUUGUAGUCGUAAAGGUACGUAAACAUUUAAUGCGAGUUUUCCCCCUUUUAUAUCUAAUAUCAGUCAUAUGGUAAUAUAACUCAUUAACAAUAUAAAGUAGAGACCUAGAGUCUUUUGAUUUGAGGUCCUUGGUUUAUGACCUUGAAAUUGAGCUCAAGGUCAUAUGUUAAUUUAACGUUGUAAAUUUUGACCUUUGCUUUUACCUCAUAUGUACACAUGAUUAAGCCAUGGGACUUUUUGCAUUAGGUUGUAAGCAAUGUGACCUUAAAAAAUACACCCGGAAGUGACCUUUUGUAAACCGGAAGUAGCUAUUUUUUGUACUAAAUCAAUGUAAAAGUAUAUAGAACCAUUUAUUUUUGGAAUCAGUGUCAAGUAAACUAUCAAACAAUACCAGAAGUAACAACUUUUAAACUGGAAGUAAAAGAUAAACUCCCUUAUUUAUAUCUUUUUUAUAUAGAAACC
rnacentral:lncRNA from 1 species